AAGAAUAAUGGAUGCAUGUCGUCGCCUAUCAUUUGAAUCUGGAACUCAUUCUGUUCAACACACAGUCGAUGAACAAACCUUUAAUUUGAUUUCUCUACCAGAACCUUGUUCAGUAGAGAUCCCAG